CGUUUGGGGAGAAGGCAUACACGAGGUCGGUGGGCAAUUUUUGCCUAAAACGAACUUGGAGAUGAUUGAGUUGGAGGCUGAUCCUUGAGUUUGGCCUGACAGAAGACAAAUGCAGAACGGGAUCUGGAGGUCUGUCUGUGACUGAUGAUCUGCUAUGAAAUCGCAUUGAUGAUGCAAGCGUGCUCUGGCUCGGAUGUUAAAAAUGCAAUGUGAGAGUGGGCCGUCGGGGGAGAGUAGAGGGAGGACAA
rnacentral:lncRNA from 1 species